GACGAACGCUGGCGGCGUGCUUAACACAUGCAAGUCGAACGGAAAGGCCCUGCUUUUGUGGGGUGCUCGAGUGGCGAACGGGUGAGUAACACGUGAGUAACCUGCCCUUGACUUUGGGAUAACUUCAGGAAACUGGGGCUAAUACCGGAUAGGAGCUCCUGCUGCAUGGUGGGGGUUGGAAAGUUUCGGCGGUUGGGGAUGGACUCGCGGCUUAUCAGCUUGUUGGUGGGGUAGUGGCUUACCAAGGCUUUGACGGGUAGCCGGCCUGAGAGGGUGACCGGCCACAUUGGGACUGAGAUACGGCCCAGACUCCUACGGGAGGCAGCAGUGGGGAAUAUUGCACAAUGGGCGGAAGCCUGAUGCAGCAACGCCGCGUGCGGGAUGACGGCCUUCGGGUUGUAAACCGCUUUCGCCUGUGACGAAGCGUGAGUGACGGUAAUGGGUAAAGAAGCACCGGCUAACUUCGUG
rnacentral:rRNA from 1 species